UAACUUGUACUAAUUACCCGUGAGGCUUAACCAUACAACACCUAAGAAGUGUU
rnacentral:rRNA from 1 species